AGUCGUAACAAGGUUUCCGUAGGUGAACCUGCGGAAGGAUCAUUACCGAGUGUAGGGUUCCUAGCGAGCCCAACCUCCCACCCGUGUUUACUGUACCUUAGUUGCUUCGGCGGGCCCGCCAUUCAUGGCCGCCGGGGGCUCUCAGCCCCGGGCCCGCGCCCGCCGGAGACACCACGAACUCUGUCUGAUCUAGUGAAGUCUGAGUUGAUUGUAUCGCAAUCAGUUAAAACUUUCAACAAUGGAUCUCUUGGUUCCGGCAUCGAUGAAGAACGCAGCGAAAUGCGAUAACUAGUGUGAAUUGCAGAAUUCCGUGAAUCAUCGAGUCUUUGAACGCACAUUGCGCCCCCUGGUAUUCCGGGGGGCAUGCCUGUCCGAGCGUCAUUGCUGCCCAUCAAGCACGGCUUGUGUGUUGGGUCGUCGUCCCCUCUCCGGGGGGGACGGGCCCCAAAGGCAGCGGCGGCACCGCGUCCGAUCCUCGAGCGUAUGGGGCUUUGUCACCCGCUCUGUAGGCCCGGCCGGCGCUUGCCGAACGCAAAUCAAUCUUUUCCAGGUUGACCUCGGAUCAGGUAGGGAUACCCGCUGAACCUAAGCAUAUCA
rnacentral:misc_RNA from 1 species